rnacentral:misc_RNA from 2 species
AACGCACAUUGCGCCCGCUAGUAUUCUGGCGGGCAUGCCUGUUCGAGCGUCAUUUCAACCAUCAAGCGCCUGCGCUUGUGUUGGAGCCCUGCGGCUGCCGCAGGCUCCCAAACCCAGUGGCGGGCUCGUCGUCGUACCGAGUGCAGUAAACUUACCACGCUCAGGGCACGCGACGGGUGACCGGCCGUAAAACCCCCCCCUUCUCAAGGUUGACCUCGGAUCAGGUAGGAAUACCCGCUGAACUUAA